rnacentral:misc_RNA from 1 species
UGUGGGAGCGAGCCUGCUCGCGAUGGCGGUGUGUCAGUUACCAGUGCUUGUCUGACACUCCGCCAUCGCGAGCAGGCUCGCUCCCACA